AAGUCGUAACAAGGUUUCCGUAGGUGAACCUGCGGAAGGAUCAUUACAACGUAUCCACGUAUAAACAAACGCGAACCUCCCGUCUGAGGUAAAAAACCAGGCAGCUGGUCUGAAGUUAACCGGUCGAACUGUAAAUCAUGUGUUUCGUCGAUGGAGUUAGUGUUGCAUCAACACUACUGGAGCACUGGUUCUGACCCGGAUAAGCCCUCGCGGUAGAUCCGAACUUCGUUUACCUCUGACGUGUAUCAACCAUCGGUCCAUAUGUACCUUCAUUAACCCUUUGUAAAAAUUGAACUGAAUUUGUAAAGUUUGCGGUUGUCCUUGCUGGCUUCGGUCACGGGCAGCUUAACGCAGCGCUUUACUAUUUACGAAAUAUAAGAACAACUCUUAAUAACGGAUAUCUUGGUUCUC
rnacentral:misc_RNA from 1 species